rnacentral:rRNA from 1 species
UACAGAGGGGGCAAGCGUUGUUCGGAAUUACUGGGCGUAAAGGGCUCGUAGGCGGCCAACUAAGUCAGACGUGAAAUCCCUCAGCUUAACUGGGGAACUGCGUCUGAUACUGGAUGGCUUGGAUUCGGGAGAGGAAUGCGGAAUUCCAGGUGUAGCGGUGAAAUGCGUAGAUAUCUGGAGGAACACCGGUGGCGAAGGCGGCAUUCUGGACCGACAUUGACGCUGAGGAGCGAAAGCCAGGGGAGCGAACAGG